CUAACACCGGAGUGCGUAGAUCUGUAGGUCCAACCGCCCCCUGGCCGACGUGCGCUGAUCUGUAGGUCCAACCGCUCCCUGGCCGGGGGCCCUAGCCACUCUUGAAGCCCCGGCCUCCUCUGGGCACCCAGGGGGCAGAUGGCUGGCCUCCCGACUGCUGGUGGCAAGGCGAUGAAGCAGCUGGCGCCGUUGGCAGUGGAGAGGCAGAAGCAGAUCUGGAACGCUCCUCUUUGCCCCUUCUGCAGCUGCCCCAGGCUGUGGUCAGAGACUGGGGGUCCGCGUAGGGAUUUAGGUCCCUUCGUGCAGAGGCCUGGAGUGAUGCUAGCUCAUCAGCGCCUACAUGGAAUGGAGCUGUUCCAGCUGGCUAGAGCCAUGCUCCAAAGACAACCUUUCACCCUAGAGAGCUGAUUAAUGGUUUUUAAGAGGGGAUGUGGGAGUAUGGCAGCAGAACAUCAGUUUCCGAAGUUGGAAUUCAAUCCCGAGUGAAUAUACCCAAGAGUGUAUGAAACAAAAAAACAGCAAAACAUAGCAAGGACUCCACAAGCCUCCAAAUUCAAGACAAGUCAUUGACAACCUUCUUCAAUAGCAGGUCUCAGCAGCUGCAGGUCAGACCACGAAAGUGCCCCAGAAUGAUCAUCCCAACACAUUCCAGUCUUUCUGAUCAUGACACCUUAUAGUCAGCACUCCCACCUAGGAUUAAAUUUUUACAAUGUGGAGACUGUUGCUUGCCUGCCUCAUUAAAGCUGGCCUCUGGGGCGGGGAGGCCCUUUCAAAUUCAAACCAUGACUUUUAGAAUUCAAAUCACAAUGUUAGGUUUCCAGUUCAAACUGUGGUUUUUGAGAUGCUGAUUAUUUUUUGUUAAGACCUUAUCCCCCACCCCCAGAACUCUCAGAAGACUAAGGGGAAAAAAGGGUAGUAAAACACAAGGAAUUCCUUCAGGGAAGGAAACUUCCUCCAGAAGACCCUCAAACCAGGGAUGCUUCUUUGCUCUUUUCCUUUUAAGCUAGAAUCUCUCAAAACCACAAUUUGAACUUGUAACCACAAUUUUCCUGACACUGUAUCAAAGGCUGGUCUUAAAGGAGCCACCAAUAUGCCUAGGAUCAACCCUACUCCACUGUGGGGACAGAGCAGCCUUUCUUCCCACUGGAUCACUGGGAGAAACGUGGGCCCAGACACUGGCCCACCGAGCUGAAAAGAAGACAGGCUUUGUUUGCCAGACAGAAGAGUGAACCCAUAUGUGCCCUACUCCUGCUGUAUUUUCAAACCAAAAGCACCAAAUGGUCACUUGAUUAGAUCAGAGGAAACAAAAUGAGGGUUCAAAGGGCAUGUGGCAACAAGCAGCUGGAAGGCACAUGAGAAGCUACUAGGUGGCCUGCAGGCUAGAUGACUAGACACUGCACACACAGCUGGCUGUAAAACCAGGAAAGGCAGCCCAGGCCCAGCAGGUUACUGGCAGAGGCAAGUAAGAAUCAAAUGGUGUCAAGGACAACCAAAAAGACCAGUGAAUUUCUAAACCCAUCAUCCUUGGGAUCCCAUCAAACAAUCACGUGAUCAAGAAGAGGUAUAGAUGUCUUCACUUUCACUACCUGAAAAGAGUUGUUCUAACAGCAAGGGCAAGUGAAUGCAACAGCUGCCAUAAACAGUAGAAUACUGCCUACGUUCGCAGUAAAUUAGGAAUAGUAUACCUGAGGUCCUGGAUAGCUGGGCAGGGUGAAUAAAAGCAAAAACAAACGUA